UACGUAGGGAGCGAGCGUUGUCCGGAUUCAUUGGGCAUAAAGAGCUCGUAGGCGGCUUGAUAAGUCGGAUGUGAAACCUCCGAGGCUCAACCUGGAGUCGCCAUCCGAUACUGUCAUGGCUAGAGUCCGGUAGGGGCCCACGGAAUUCCUGGUGUAGCGGUGAAAUGCGCAGAUAUCAGGAGGAACACCGGUGGCGAAGGCGGUGGGCUGGGCCGGCACUGACGCUGGAGGAGCGAAAGCGUUGGGAGCGAACAGG
rnacentral:rRNA from 1 species